rnacentral:rRNA from 1 species
UACGUAGGGGGCUAGCGUUGUCCGGAAUCAUUGGGCGUAAAGAGCGUGUAGGCGGUCCGGUAAGUCCGCUGUGAAAGUCGGGGGCUCAACCCUCGAAUGCCGGUGGAUACUGUCGGGCUAGAGUGCGGAAGAGGCGAGUGGAACUCCUGGUGUAGCGGUGAAAUGCGCAGAUAUCAGGAGGAACACCUAUUGCGAAGGCAGCUCGCUGGGACGUAACUGACGCUGAGACGCGAAAGCGUGGGGAGCAAACAGG